rnacentral:rRNA from 1 species
GAUGAACGCUGGCGGCGUGCCUAAUACAUGCAAGUCGAGCGAACAGACGAGGAGCUUGCUCCUCUGACGUUAGCGGCGGACGGGUGAGUAACACGUGGAUAACCUACCUAUAAGACUGGGAUAACUUCGGGAAACCGGAGCUAAUACCGGAUAAUAUAUUGAACCGCAUGGUUCAAUAGUGAAAGACGGUUUUGCUGUCACUUAUAGAUGGAUCCGCGCCGCAUUAGCUAGUUGGUAAGGUAACGGCUUACCAAGGCAACGAUGCGUAGCCGACCUGAGAGGGUGAUCGGCCACACUGGAACUGAGACACGGUCCAGACUCCUACGGGAGGCAGCAGUAGGGAAUCUUCCGCAAUGGGCGACAGCUUGACGGAGCAACGCCGCGUGAGUGAUGAAGGUCUUCGGAUCGUAAAACUCUGUUAUUAGGGAAGAACAAAUGUGUAAGUAACUAUGCACGUCUUGACGGUACCUAAUCAGAAAGCCACGGCUAACUACGUG